rfam:Aedes albopictus isolate Foshan contig133526, whole genome shotgun sequence.
UGUUCUGUGGCUUAGUUGGUUAAAGCGCCGGACUAGCGAUAGGGAGUCGUGGGUUCGAAUCCCACCAAAACAA